rnacentral:lncRNA from 1 species
GGUCGUCAGCCGGAGGAAACAGCUCUUAUCACAGCUUGAGGUUCGAAACGAUACGGUGGUAGGGCUUUUUCUUGGAAAUGACUUGAGAUUUUCUCGGUAAAAUGCGAGAAACAGAUGCGAAACAAAGCAGGAAAAAUAAAAGAACACGUCAAGAAUCUCCCAUAGAGCGCCUCGGUGAGCUCGGACCCCCCGAAUCCCAUGCGGCCGGGCAUUGCGUCGAUGGCCGGAACGAACGCGAGGGUUAGGUUUAGAGUUAGGGUUUCUCCUGACGGGCAGAGGGCCGCGGUUGGGUGGGAUCCCUAGAUCGGGAGGGUCGUCAGCCGGAGGAAACAUCUCUUAUCACAGCUUGAUGUUCGAAACGAUACGGUGGUAGGGCUUUUUCUAGGAAAUGACGUGAGAUUUUCUCGGGAAAAUGCGAGAAACUGAUACGAAAGCAUGAG